rnacentral:lncRNA from 1 species
CUCCCCUAUCUUGUGCACCCUGCUGUCUCUAAUUAGAGGAUGGAUUUGAUCCUUAGGGGCAAAAUACCACCAAGAAGCUGUAUACCUGCCCUCUGCUUGGAGGUUGGAGGACCCUGAGCAGGUUAGGUCUGGGUCCUUGGUGGGGCCCUGCACCUGAGUACCUGGGACAGGGGUCAUGCUAAGAGCCCACUGGAGGUCCCAGCAGGAAGACCAGGGCACUUGCAGACCCACCUGUCCCACCCUGGGUAUCCCCAUGUGUUGGGAAGUCAGCAGAGGUGACAUGUCUGCUCUAAGCAGGGAGGAGAUGUUCCACGGCACCCAGAAGCUCAGGGUUGCUUCUCCUCUUCCCUGAGAGUCCAUUUAAUGAGCCUGGUGCCACAGAGAAGCUUCUUCCCCAGGAGCUGUGAAGGUCUGCCUGCCAUGGUCCCAAGCUGGUCCUCCAAGGCUUCAUGGGAAGAGCACUGGGCCGGGGAUCACAGAACCAUCCUUUGCCUUGUUCCCAGCCUCUGCUUCUCUGCUGAUGAGACCCUGGGUGGCCACAGGCUGCUCUGAGCCUUGGUUCAGGCUGCUCGCUGCAUCCUGGACCCCAGGUUCCCUGCCUGCCUUGAGGACCUCACGAUGGAAGGAGCAACUGUCAGUGCUGCUUGGUGACAUGGCUGGGGUGUCUCAGCACAGCUGUCAGGAAAAGAAGCGGCUCAGGCUCCUGCAUGUUAGAGCUCACCACCAAAGCCACCAGGUCCCGAGAGUCCCUUUGAGACAGGUUUCUUGGUCUCCUUCCCCAAGCCCACUGUUACGGUGGAGGAGCUUCUCAUUCUUCUGCUCUGCCUCAGACCCACGGUCCCUGCCGUGGAGAUCCUUCUAGAACACAAAGCAGAUCACAUUACCUCCGUGCUUAAGGAUCCUAGAGGCCACUUCAGAACCUCCAGGCGGAAGUCUCAACUCGGCAAGUGCCAGGUACAGGGUCAGUGAUGGAAUUAAUGCUGCUCGAGUAGGCAGACCUCAGAGGUUGGGGGGUACAGAAUGGCAAUGGCUGUCCUGGCUGGCAGGACUUCUGAGGAAUAUGAUGGCUUAAAGCUACCACGUUUCCCCAAAGUCUCAUGUGUUUGAAAGGUGAUGCAUCACUUAUCCAUUGAUGAGUUCAUAGCUGGAUGCGCCUUUCGCAGGCGGAGCCUGGUUGGAGGUGGGUCACUGGGGUGCCACCUGGAAGGCUGCAUGCUCAUCUCUGGCUCCUCCCUUCUCUCUCUGCUUCCUGGCUGCUAUGAGUCUACCAUCUUUUCUCCUCCAUGCCCUCCCACCAUGAGGUUUUGCCUUGGAGCCAGCUGACCAUGGACUGAACUCACUGACAAAC